rnacentral:misc_RNA from 1 species
ACAAACUUGGUCAUUUAGAGGAAGUACAAGUCGUAACAAGGUAUCCGUAGGUGAACCUGCGGAUGGAUCAUUAACAAAGGAUUUCCAUCCAAUGUAUUGUGAACUGUUUUGAAGACACGGUCAGUAUGUGGUCUGGAUUUUACUUUGAUAAACAGAGUAGUUUUUGGCUUCAUACUGGCCGUACCCAAAUCAAACAUUUUGAAACUGACGUCUACUAUACCUUUAGUAUAAAUAACUAGAGAUAACUUUUAGCAACGGAUCUCUUGGCUCUCGCAUCGAUGAAGAACGCAGC